GGGAAUCUGUAUGAUUCAUAAUCUCUUUACAUUCUUGCUUGCUUACAUAACAUUGCUUGAUUGACAAUCCCACAUGUGUUUUCUGCUCAGGUGAUGUGUAGCCUAUAUCAUUUGUUUUAUCUUGUUGUCAUAUUACUGUCAUGUUGUCUAGCCUCCAUCUCCCCCAUGUCCCUCCCUCUUUUUACCCUCUGUUUCCUGUGUCAUUGGUGCUUAUCACACUCAUCUCUUACAGAAUCCUACAUAUCUGAACCAAAUUCCUUUGGAAGCAGGUGCAGAGCCCUUAUGAUUUGAACAUGUGACCACAUACACACGCGCCUCUGCUAAAUCAGUGCGAUCAGUAAAAUGAUGAAUGUUGUCAUAUCAUUUUCCAGGUCAGCUCCUUGUGACUUUUUUGUCUUUCUUUCUUUUUUUUUUUUCCUUUAGCUACUCAGGUUCCCAACACAAAUUUCCUAUGACAACGUAUACCGGCCACAGCAACCACUGAACAAUCGCGUGGUCUAUUCUUCCACUGCUCUCAAACGCAGGUCACAAAGGAACAACUGAACACAUCCUACAGCACCUGACCAAUCAGGGGCCCUAAUCUGAAAAUUAUGCAUGUAGUUUAAAUACAAAUGCUUUUAUUUUA